UGAGUGUCAAUACAUGCGUUUGAAUCUCUCCGACCCGAGCACCACAACCCCUAAAUCUUGAGUCCACAUUGAAUAGACUUUGCUCCUUAAUUUAAAGUGCCCGAUUGGUUAAGCUCUGUAGUUCCUUAUUCAUUAGAUAUUGAAAUUCUCAAUAAGAUCUGUUGUUCCUACAUUGGCUAGUAAUGGCUCCACAUUAAUAGGGCGGAUUUAGG
rnacentral:lncRNA from 1 species